rnacentral:rRNA from 1 species
AUUGAACGCUGGCGGCAGGCCUAACACAUGCAAGUCGAGCGGAUGAUUGGAGCUUGCUCCAUGAUUCAGCGGCGGACGGGUGAGUAAUGCCUAGGAAUCUGCCUGGUAGUGGGGGACAACGUUUCGAAAGGAACGCUAAUACCGCAUACGUCCUACGGGAGAAAGCAGGGGACCUUCGGGCCUUGCGCUAUCAGAUGAGCCUAGGUCGGAUUAGCUAGUAGGUGAGGUAAUGGCUCACCUAGGUGACGAUCCGUAACUGGUCUGAGAGGAUGAUCAGUCACACUGGAACUGAGACACGGUCCAGACUCCUACGGGAGGCAGCAGUGGGGAAUAUUGGACAAUGGGCGAAAGCCUGAUCCAGCCAUGCCGCGUGUGUGAAGAAGGUCUUCGGAUUGUAAAGCACUUUAAGUUGGGAGGAAGGGCAGUAAGUUAAUACCUUGCUGUUUUGACGUUACCAACAGAAUAAGCACCGGCUAACUUCGUGCCAGCCGCCGCAGUAACAC